rnacentral:rRNA from 1 species
GCUGAUGUGUCAACACAAAGCACCCCAUCGGACCUGGGCGCCGGAUCUGAAAUAUCUUGAUCGAUACGCCGACCGCGACAUCCCUGAACCGCCAACUCUUUUUGAUGAUUGGAAAAAUCGCAGCAACACGUUGGCUGGCAACGCGAUGUCGAUCGAUCGCCACUUCUACUAUCACUACGACCUGAAAGUCCACCAAGACGUCCCGUUCGCGUCGGAUCGAGAAAAGCGAUUGCAGGACGGCGAAUAUCGUCGCAUGACAGCCGAGCAAAAACAGGU